rnacentral:rRNA from 1 species
UACAGAGGGGGCAAGCGUUAUUCGGAAUUAUUGGGCGUAAAGGGCGCGUAGGCGGUCCUUCAAGUCUCUCGUGAAAUCCCUCGGCUUAACUGAGGACGUGCGGGAGAUACUGCUGGGCUUGAGUCCGGAAGAGGGUGGUGGAAUUCCCAGUGUAGCGGUGAAAUGCGUAGAUAUUGGGAGGAACACCGGUGGCGAAGGCGGCCGGCUGGGGGUGACCUGACGCUGAGGCGCGAAAGCGUGGGGAGCGAACCGG